GUUGGGUUAUUGAUUCUGGUUCAAGUACUCAUUUGUGCACUUCAAUGUAAGGUCUCAAAGAAGUAAGGGGGCUAAGGAAAAGCGAGAUCACUCUUCGGAUCAGUAAUGGAGUAAGGGUUAUUGCUGUAGCUGUCGGAACCUAUCCUCUGCGACUACCGUUAAGAUUUAAUUUGCUUUUGAAAGACUGUUUAUAUACCUAUAACCAGUAAAAAUUUGAUUUCUAUCUCUAUGCUGGCACAAGAUAACUAUAAUU
rnacentral:lncRNA from 1 species